GGGGGCCGCUACCAGUAGCUAGUCGUACGAUGAACCCAGUCUUGCUGGGUGGAUUAGUGGCGAACGGGUGAGUAACACGUGAGUAACCUGCCCUUGACUCUGGGAUAAGCCUGGGAAACUGGGUCUAAUACUGGAUAGGAACGUCCACCGCAUGGUGGUUGUUGGAAAGAUUUAUCGGUCAUGGAUGGACUCGCGGCCUAUCAGCUUGUUGGUGAGGUAAUGGCUCACCAAGGCGACGACGGGUAGCCGGCCUGAGAGGGUGACCGGCCACACUGGGACUGAGACACGGCCCAGACUCCUACGGGAGGCAGCAGUGGGGAAUAUUGCACAAUGGGCGAAAGCCUGAUGCAGCGACGCCGCGUGAGGGAUGACGGCCUUCGGGUUGUAAACCUCUUUCAGUAGGGAAGAAGCGAAAGUGACGGUACCUGCAGAAGAAGCACCGGCUAACUACGUGCCAGCAGCCGCGGUAAUACGUAGGGUGCGAGCGUUAUCCGGAAUUAUUGGGCGUAAAGAGCUCGUAGGCGGUUUGUCGCGUCUGUCGUGAAAGUCCGGGGCUUAACCCCGGAUCUGCGGUGGGUACGGGCAGACUAGAGUGCAGUAGGGGAGACUGGAAUUCCUGGUGUAGCGGUGGAAUGCGCAGAUAUCAGGAGGAACACCGAUGGCGAAGGCAGGUCUCUGGGCUGUAACUGACGCUGAGGAGCGAAAGCAUGGGGAGCGAACAGGAUUAGAUACCCUGGUAGUCCAUGCCGUAAACGUUGGGCACUAGGUGUGGGGACCAUUCCACGGUUUCCGCGCCGCAGCUAACGCAUUAAGUGCCCCGCCUGGGGAGUACGGCCGCAAGGCUAAAACUCAAAGGAAUUGACGGGGGCCCGCACAAGCGGCGGAGCAUGCGGAUUAAUUCGAUGCAACGCGAAGAACCUUACCAAGGCUUGACAUGUUCUCGAUCGCCGUAGAGAUACGGUUUCCCCUUUGGGGCGGGAUCACAGGUGGUGCAUGGUUGUCGUCAGCUCGUGUCGUGAGAUGUUGGGUUAAGUCCCGCAACGAGCGCAACCCUCGUUCCAUGUUGCCAGCACGUAGUGGUGGGGACUCAUGGGAGACUGCCGGGGUCAACUCGGAGGAAGGUGGGGACGACGUCAAAUCAUCAUGCCCCUUAUGUCUUGGGCUUCACGCAUGCUACAAUGGCCGGUACAAUGGGUUGCGAUACUGUGAGGUGGAGCUAAUCCCAAAAAGCCGGUCUCAGUUCGGAUUGGGGUCUGCAACUCGACCCCAUGAAGUCGGAGUCGCUAGUAAUCGCAGAUCAGCAACGCUGCGGUGAAUACGUUCCCGGGCCUUGUACACACCGCCCGUCAAGUCACGAAAGUUGGUAACACCCGAAGCCGGUGCCUAACCCCAGGGGGGGUCCGUUCGGAGGGAGGCUCCG
rnacentral:rRNA from 2 species